UACAGAGGGGGCAAGCGUUGUUCGGAAUUACUGGGCGUAAAGGGCGCGUAGGCGGCCUGCUAAGUCGAACGUGACAUCCCUGGGCUCAACCCAGGAACUGCGUCCGAUACUGGUUGGCUUGAAUCCGGGAGAGGGACGUGGAAUUCCAGGUGUAGCGGUGAAAUGCGUAGAUAUCUGGAGGAACACCGGUGGCGAAGGCGACGUCCUGGACCGGCAUUGACGCUGAGGCGCGAAAGCCAGGGGAGCAAACGGG
rnacentral:rRNA from 1 species